UUUCCUACGCAACGUUCAUCGGCGUAGGGUGAGUCGGCCCCUAAGGCGAGGCAGAAAUGCGUAGUCGAUGGGAAACAGGUUAAUAUUCCUGUACUUGAUUCAAAUGCGAUGUGGGGACGGAGAAGGUUAGGUUAGCAAGCUGUUGGAAUAGCUUGUUUAAGCCGGUAGGUGGAAGACUUAGGCAAAUCCGGGUCUUCUUAACACCGAGAAGUGACGACGAGUGUCUACGGACAUGAAGUAACCGAUACCACGCUUCCAGGAAAAGCCACUAAGCUUCAGUUUGAAUCGAACCGUACCGCAAACCGACACAGGUGGGCAGGAUGAGAAUUCUAAGGCGCUUGAGAGAACUCGGGAGAAGGAACUCGGCAAAUUGAUACCGUAACUUCGGGAGAAGGUAUGCCCUCUAAUGUAAAGGACUUGCUCCGGAAGCAUCUGAGGGUCGCAGAGAAUCGGUGGCUGCGACUGUUUAUUAAAAACACAGCACUCUGCUAACACGAAAGUGGACGUAUAGGGUGUGACGCCUGCCCGGUGCUGGAAGGUUAAUUGAAGAUGUGAGAGCAUCGGAUCGAAGCCCCAGUAAACGGCGGCCGUAACUAUAACGGUCCUAAGGUAGCGAAAUUCCUUGUCGGGUAAGUUCCGACCCGCACGAAUGGCGUAACGAUGGCCACACUGUCUCCUCCCGAGACUCAGCGAAGUUGAAGUGGUUGUGAAGAUGCAAUCUACCCGCUGCUAGACGGAAAGACCCCGUGAACCUUUACUGUAGCUUUGCAUUGGACUUUGAAGUCACUUGUGUAGGAUAGGUGGGAGGCUUAGAAGCAGAGACGCCAGUCUCUGUGGAGCCGUCCUUGAAAUACCACCCUGGUGUCUUUGAGGUUCUAACCCAGACCCGUAAUCCGGGUCGGGGACCGUGCAUGGUAGGCAGUUUGACUGGGGCGGUCUCCUCCCAAAGAGUAACGGAGGAGUUCGAAGGUUACCUAGGUCCGGUCGGAAAUCGGACUGAUAGUGCAAUGGCAAAAGGUAGCUUAACUGCGAGACCGACAAGUCGAGCAGGUGCGAAAGCAGGACAUAGUGAUCCGGUGGUUCUGUAUGGAAGGGCCAUCGCUCAACGGAUAAAAGGUACUCCGGGGAUAACAGGCUGAUU
rnacentral:rRNA from 1 species